rnacentral:rRNA from 1 species
UUAAAUGUAAUUUUAUAAAUUAGAUUAUUAUUAGUUAUGAUCUUUAAAAUUAAAAAAUUUGGCGGUAUUUUAGUCUUUUCAGAGGAACCUGUUUUUUAAAUGAUAAUCCACGAUUUAAUUUACUUUUAUUUUUAAUUUGUAUAUCAUCGUAGUUAAAUAUUUUUUUAGAAUUAUAAUAUUUAUAAUUUUUUAUUUUAAAAUUUAUCAGAUCAAGGUGCAGUUUAUAAAAAAGUUUUAAUGGGUUACAUUUAAUUUAUUUUUGGAUUUGUAAAUUUAAUAUUUAAAUGAAAUUGGAUUUGGAAGUAAUAAUGAUUAAUUUAUCAUUAUGAUUAAGCUCUAAAAUAUGU